AGUCGUAACAGGUUUCCGUAGGUGAACCUGCGGAAGGAUCAUUAAUGAAAUUCAAGGCCGCUCUUUUUAGAGGGUCGACCAAUUUUCAUCAUACACAGUGCACAAACAUUCUUUACACCUUUUUUACACUCAGAGUGUUUUAUAAUAAUGUAUACUUUCUCUUAAAUGAGUAUUUAAUAAAAAAAACUUUCAGCAACGGAUCNCUUGGCUCUCGCAUCGAUGAAGAACGCAGCGAAAUGCGAUACGUAAUGNGAAUUGCAGAAUUCAGUGAAUCAUCGAAUCUUUGAACGCACCUUGCACUCUUUGGUAUUCCGAAGAGUAUAUCUGUUUGAGUGUCAUGAAAUUCUCAACCCACUCGUCUUGAAAUGAGACGGUGAUGGGCUUGGAUUAUGGCUGCUUGUUGGCUUUGACUAGUCGGCUCGGCUGAAAGAUACGAGCAAUCUCAAAUUGAAAGAGGAAGUGAUCUGUCUCGGCGUAAUAAUUCAUCUCGUUGAGAUAAUUUACUUUCUUUCAAAUUGAAAUGCUUCUAAUGUAAUAGUAAAUUUAGCUUUAGACCUCAAAUCAGAUAGGACUACCCGCUGAACUUAANCAUAUCAAUAAGCGGANGAAAAGAAACUAACAAGGAUUCCCCCAGUAACGGCGAGUGAAGUGGGAAAAGCUCAACUUUAAAAUCUGGCAGCUUCNCUGUCCGA
rnacentral:rRNA from 1 species